AUGGAUUCGAUGAGCCUACCAGCUGCAUUUUUGUUCUGCUUGGAAGUAUAUCAUUUCAUAAUCCAUAUGUCAAUCAUAUUUCGCAUGCGUUUGUUACCACGCAAAGAUAUUGUGCGACAGCGUUGCUAUUUCCUUGUUGAAGCUAUGACAGUGUUUACGAUAAACGUCUUGUUUAUUGGAAAACUUAAGUGGUUAGCAGCAAUUCAUAACAUUCUGCAUGGGUACUAUGUCCUAACCUGGGAUUCCUCUUCCCUUUGCAAGAAGCUGAUAAGCUGGAGCUCUCUUGAUUGGCAACGCAGUCAUCACAAAAAACGCUGGGAAUUGUUGGCAGUGUUUGGCACCACAUAUGACGUGCUUGUCCACACCAUCAACUGCUACUUACUGGGCAAGUACCUCACCACAGUGGAAGUGAUCAUAUCCCUGUUUAUAACACAUUGCCUGGUCUAUUUUAUUCUGCACAACCCGCUGUACGCCUGGAGUAAUCCUGUCUCAACACCAGACUGGGUGGAGAAAAGAAUUUUCCCAAUCGGAGAAAAUUAUGAAAGUUGUGUCUUGAGUGGAGGUGAUGCUAAGAGGGAGAAGUAAUGAAGAUUCAGUUUUACUGGGUGGUACCUGGUUGUACUCUUUCUCCCCUGGACACCCUUAAGGUUACAAGAAGGCUGAAAAAAAAAAAAAAAACUUGUUGUAUCAGUAU